rnacentral:rRNA from 1 species
GAUGAACGCUGGCGGCGUGCCUAAUACAUGCAAGUCGAGCGAACGGACGAGAAGCUUGCUUCUCUGAUGUUAGCGGCGGACGGGUGAGUAACACGUGGAUAACCUACCUAUAAGACUGGGAUAACUUCGUGAAACCGGAGCUAAUACCGGAUGAUAUUUUGAACCGCAUGGUUCAAAAGUGAAAGACGGUCUUGCUGUCACUUAUAGAUGGAUCCGCGCUGCAUUAGCUAGUUGGUAAGGUAACGGCUUACCAAGGCAACGAUGCAUAGCCGACCUGAGAGGGUGAUCGGCCACACUGGAACUGAGACACGGUCCAGACUCCUACGGGAGGCAGCAGUAGGGAAUCUUCCGCAAUGGGCGAAAGCCUGACGGAGCAACGCCGCGUGAGUGAUGAAGGUCUUCGGAUCGUAAAACUCUGUUAUUAGGGAAGAAAAUAUGUGUAAGUAAAUGUGCACAUCUUGACGGUACCUAAUCAGAAAGCCACGGCUAACUACGUG